rnacentral:ribozyme from 1 species
GAAACUCUUUGCAAAUAUCCAUAAUGAAUGGUGAACGCAUGCAAGGAUAUAUGAUGCCAGGAUGAAUAUAUUGGGAAACCAUCAAGAUAUUUCAUCAUUCCCAGCAGUUGGUAUGGUUUCAUUUUAUAUUUUUUGUUUUUUUACUUUUCUUCAUUUUUGCACUUUUUUUGAUAA